CAUGAAAAACUUACAUUCUUUUUUGCCAGCUGGGAGAACAAAAUUCUUUACAUCUGCUCAAGUGUUUGAACCCUUUACUGGCCUAAUCCUGUACACUACAAUCCUUACACAGAGCCAUUAUGGAAAGCAAGCCAUCGUUCAGUAUGAAAGAAUUAUUGCAACCAGCAGAACA